rnacentral:rRNA from 1 species
UACGGAGGAUCCAAGCGUUAUCCGGAUUCAUUGGGUUUAAAGGGUGCGUAGGCGGAAUGAUAAGUCAGUGGUGAAAUCCUGCAGCUUAACUGCAGAACUGCCAUUGAUACUGUCAAUCUUGAGUAUAUUUGAUGUGGGCGGAAUGUGUCAUGUAGCGGUGAAAUGCUUAGAUAUGACACAGAACACCGAUUGCGAAGGCAGCUCACAAAACUAUAACUGACGCUGAGGCACGAAAGCGUGGUAGUCAAACAGGAAUUAGAUACCGAGUAGCUCAGACUAACG